rnacentral:lncRNA from 1 species
AACCACCUCAGCCUCGCUUCUCGCAUCUUCUCAUCCAUCGGGGCCACCCCUACCUUCUCUCGAAUAACUUCAUUCUUAAUCUUAUCUAACCUGGUGAGCCCGCACAUCCACCUGAGCAUCCUCAUCUCGUCAAUCUCUCCGUCCCCCCUGAAUCACCGACUCAAGAUAUCUGACACUAUCCCUCUUGGCGAUGACCUGAGAUCCAAUCAUCACGUCUCUGCCUACUUCGCUCGGCUUGGCGCUAAACUUGCACUCCAGGUAUUCUAUCUUAGAUCUGCUUAUUUUGAAACCCUUAGACUCGAGAG